rnacentral:rRNA from 1 species
CCUACGGGUGGCAGCAGUGGGGAAUAUUGCACAAUGGGGGAAACCCUGAUGCAGUGACGCCGCGUGAGCGAUGAAGUAUUUCGGUAUGUAAAGCUCUAUCAGCAGGGAAGAAAAUGACGGUACCUGACUAAGAAGCCCCGGCUAACUACGUGCCAGCAGCCGCGGUAAUACGUAGGGGGCAAGCGUUAUCCGGAUUUACUGGGUGUAAAGGGAGCGUAGACGGCGGUGCAAGCCAGAUGUGAAAGCCCGGGGCUCAACCCCGGGACUGCAUUUGGAACUGUGCUGCUAGAGUGUCGGAGAGGCAGGCGGAAUUCCUAGUGUAGCGGUGAAAUGCGUAGAUAUCUGGAGGAACAUCAGUGGCGAAGGCGGCCACCUGGACCGGUAUUGACGCUGAGGCGCGAAAGCGUGGGGAGCAAACAGGAUUAGAUACCCCAGUAGUC